AUGUGAAUCCACCUCAGGCAAUGGAGAUAAGGAUCAAGGUCGUCUGCACCUCUCUCUGUCGCAGUGACAUCACUGCCUGGGAGUCUCAGGCUAUUUUUCCUCGAAUAUUUGGCCAUGAAGCAACAGGGUUUGGGUUAGAGGUGAUACUUGAGGCAUAAGUGAGGACAAUGCUUGGCUCCUCACUGGUGAGGAAGAACUUUUUCCUUCCUACUGAGGUGUCACACUCACCAUUUUCUCCUAUUAUCUUUGCAACA